rnacentral:rRNA from 1 species
AUUAGAUACCCUGGUAGUCCACGCUGUAAACGAUGGAUACUAGGUGUGGGGGGACUGACCCCCUCCGUGCCGCAGUUAACACAAUAAGUAUCCCACCUGGGGAGUACGAUCGCAAGGUUGAAACUCAAAGGAAUUGACGGGGGCCCGCACAAGCGGUGGAGUAUGUGGUUUAAUUCGAAGCAACGCGAAGAACCUUACCAGGGCUUGACAUCCCGGUGACCGUCCUAGAGAUAGGGCUUUCCCUUCGGGGACACUGGAGACAGGUGGUGCAUGGUUGUCGUCAGCUCGUGUCGUGAGAUGUUGGGUUAAGUCCCGCAACGAGCGCAACCCCUAUUUCCAGUAGCCAGCAGGUAGAGCUGGGAACUCUGGAGAGACUGCCCGGGAGAACCGGGAGGAAGGCGGGGAUGACGUCAAAUCAUCAUGCCCCUUAUGAUCAGGGCUACACACGUGCUACAAUGGCGUAAACAAAGGGAAGCGAGACGGUGACGUUAAGCAAAUCCCAAAAAUAACGUCUCAGUUCGGAUUGUAGUCUGCAACUCGACUACAUGAAGCUGGAAUCGCUAGUAAUCGCGAAUCAGAAUGUCGCGGUGAAUACGUUCCCGGGUCUUGUACACACCGCCCGUCACACCAUGGGAGUCAGAAAUGCCCGAAGUCAGUGACCCAACCGAGAGGAGGAAGCGGCCGAAGGUGGAGCUGGUAACUGGGGUGAAGUCGUAACAAGGUACC